rnacentral:rRNA from 1 species
AUGUCUCUUGUAAUGAAUUUAUGUUUGAACUUGAAAUUUCACAUGCUAAUAGAAUAUCACCCUCCUAAACUUUCGAACUUGAUAUUUUACCAUUGCAACUUGGUUUCCGCCAAAUAUUCUCUCCUGGAAAGGCCCGUGCAUUUGAACCACCUGCUAUCUGUAAGUGGCGCGAGUGACAGUGAGACAGUGAGCCUCGUUUUCCUCGCCAGCCCGAUCUAUCUCCCCUUCUCCCACAGUCCACUCGCCUCGCCUCUGCUUGUCCGCAUGGCGGCGGCGCAAGGCGAGCGGCCGCUGUACAAGGACGCGUCGGCGCCGGUGGAGGCUCGGGUGCGCGACCUGCUGGGCCGCAUGACGCUGCGGGAGAAGGCGGCCCAGAUGGCCCAGAUCGAGCGCACCGUGGUGUCGCCCCGCGCCCUCGCGGAGCUCGCCGCUGGCAGCGUCCUCAACGCCGGCGGCAGCGCGCCCCACGACCGCGCCUCCCCGGCCGACUGGGCCCGCAUGGUCGACGACAUGCAGCGCCUCGCCCUCUCCUCCCGCCUCGCCGUCCCCAUCCUCUACGGCACCGACGCCGUCCACGGCCACAACAACGUCUUCGGCGCCACCGUCUUCCCCCACAACGUCGGCCUCGGGGCCUCCAGGGAUGCGGAGCUCGUGCGGAAGAUCGGCGAGGCGACGGCGCUCGAGGUCCGCGCCACCGGCAUCCACUGGGCCUUCGCACCCUGCGUCGCCGUCUGUAGGGAUCCGAGGUGGGGGAGAUGCUACGAGAGCUACAGCGAGGACCCGGAGAUCGUGCGCUCGUUGACCACGAUUGUCACUGGCCUGCAGGGCCAGACACCGGCAGACCACCCUCACGGUUACCCGUUCCUCGCUUCGGUCAGGGACAAUGUGCUUGCUUGUGCCAAGCAUUUCGUAGGGGAUGGUGGCACUGACAAGGGGGUCAAUGAGGGGAAUGCCAUUUGCUCGACGGAGGAUUUGGAGAGGAUCCACACGAAACCAUACCCUGAUUGCAUAGCUCAAGGGGUGGCGACAGUCAUGGCAUCCUACUCUCAGUGGAACGGGGAGCCGUUACAUGCCAGCCGCCAUUUGCUCACGGAUGUUCUAAAGGGCAAGUUAGGCUUCGAGGGGUUUGUGGUGUCAGACUGGGAGGGUAUUGACAGGCUUUGUGAGCCUCGAGGGUCUGAUUAUCGCUAUUGCGUCGCGCAAUCAGUUAAUGCUGGGAUGGAUAUGAUUAUGAUACCUCACAGAUUUGAGAAAUUCUUGGAAGAUCUUGUGUUCUUGGUGGAGACAGGGGAGAUACCAAUGUCACGAAUUGAUGAUGCUGUUGAGAGGAUUCUAAGGGUUAAGUUCAUAUCUGGAGUGUUUGAGCAUCCAUUUUCAGAUCCGUCUCUACUAGAUGUAGUUGGUUGUAAGGAGCAUCGGCUGCUGGCACGUGAGGCUGUUCGAAAGUCUUUGGUACUUCUGAAAAAUGGCAAGAAGCAGAAUUUCCUUCCAUUGGCAAAAAAUGCAAAAAGAAUACUCGUUGCAGGGACACAUGCUGACAAUAUUGGAUAUCAGUGCGGUGGGUGGACAAUAGCUUGGCAUGGAGACAGUGGAAAGAUAACCCUUGGUACAAGUAUAUUGGAGGCCAUACAAGAAUCCGUCAGUGUGGAAACUGAAGUUGUGUAUGAAGAAUGCCCAACAGAGGCUAUUAUUGAAAGCGGAGAAUUUUCUUAUGCUAUUGUUGCAGUUGGUGAGGUUCCUUAUGCUGAAGGGUUGGGAGAUAGAACUGGCCUUAGUAUCCCAUUUAAUGGUUCAGACCUGAUUACUCGUGUUGCUAGUAAAGUCCCUACUCUAGUGGUUGUUGUAUCUGGAAGGCCUUUGGUCAUUGAACCACAAGUUCUGGAGAAGAUAGAUGCUCUAGUUGCUGCCUGGCUACCUGGAAGUGAGGGCAUGGGAAUUACUGAUUGCCUCUUUGGAGAUCAUGAUUUCGUGGGUACAUUGCCUGUAUCGUGGUUUAGGUCUUCUGAUCAACUGCCUAUAAAUGUUGGAGAUGCUAACUAUGAUCCCUUAUUCCCUUUUGGAUAUGGGUUGAAAAUGUUCAGAAGUGAUGAAGGUUUAGCAUAA